UUGGAAUUAUAUACCCGCGCAUUAGUGACGAGAAGGCAAAGCGUACAUGCAUUACUGGGAGAAGCGUCUACAGCGACAAAAGGUAUUUUUCAAAUUAAUCUUUUAGUUUGAUUUUCCACUUCAACUGUACCGAAACGUAUACCCAGCACUAGAGUGGAAGCAAUGAGUUUGACAGAAAAAGAAAAUAGUGCGUUACGAUUGAAGCAAGGAACAGGCUUUACAGUGCUAUUCGGUGACCUGCAACCUGCUGAGCACACACCUUUGAAUUUGUCAAAUUUUGUGCUAAAAAUUCGAAUUUCGACCGAGAAAAUGCAAGAAAAAGAAGAUUUUUGCUAACUUUCGAGCUAUCAGCUAUGUCUUUGACUCCGUUUCACCGUGGCUUCGCUAACUGUAUAAACAAAGUUAGUAUUUGCCAAAAAUUUGAACAGAAAGCCAUUUUUGAAACACUUGCUAUAUAAAUUUGACAAAUAAUGAAAAAAUAUUGAAAUAAUGAAAAUUUCAGGUGGCCGCCAAUAACACACGCGAGCGGGUGACGAUAAACCGAUGCCUUAAUUCCAUCGGCCUUUAUUUGGCAACAUUUUUACUAUUUAUGACAUGGACACUUGUUCAAAAGUUAGCCUUUUAACACGUACAUUUAUCAUAGAAAAAAUUGGUAAAGUAUAUACAAAUCUUGUUCGUCUAUAUGCAUGGGUCAACAAAGAAAAUUUGGCAAAGUAAUAUGAGCACUGGCAUACGAAAAACUUGUCAUAAGCGUUUACACGAAACCAAAAAAAUAAAUUUUUUAUCAUACAUGUGUUAAAGAAGGAUGUUCUGCUUCUUUGCGCAUAGGCAGUGAGAAAAAAACUUGAAAUCCAUCGCAUUUAAACGUGAUUUAAGGUGGUCCUAAGUUGAAAACAAUGUAGUUGUGACGUACUGGGAAAGGUCUAUUUCGGAUACAGUGCCUAGUGUUAUCUAAAAAGUAUUCGCAGGGAAAUUGUGAGCAUGGCUCGCAGUCGCCGAUAUUUUCUUCACAUAUAACGUACUCUUUAGGGAUGAAAGAAAUGGGAUGAAAAAUGACAAAAUGUCGGCAGCAUAAUCCGUGGGCUAUGUAUAAAGUACUGUGCUGAGUGGUUAUAUUACUACCUUAAAAACAAGCAGGAACUCGACGUUUCGAGCGAAGGCCCUUCGUCAAGAGUUAGUACCUGCAUGUAGUCCUGCUACUAACUCUUGACGAAGGGCCUUCGCUCGAAACGUCGAGUUUCGAUCUGCUUGUUUUUUAAGGUAGUAAUACAACCACUCAGCACAGAUUUUCACAUUGGUACUACCUACACUGGUACAGACAGUUUUAGAUGUAUAAAGUAUAUACUGUAUUGGAUUUAUGUUAUAUAUGUUUCAAAUGACAGAUAAGGAGGUAUAUGAUAUAAUGAUUUUUAAAGAUUCUUUCAUAUUGCCUUAUAUAGGAACACUUAUAUAUCAUGGAAAACUUGCCCAUCUUCAAUAUGGCAUUUACUGACUGCAAUUCCUAAGGUAUUAGUCCAGUUAUAUCGUGAGACCAGUAAUUAGCUUGCGUAGGUAGCAAUAUCAAGCAGCCAUGCAUGUUUGAAUUAAUAACAUAAAGUGACAUUAUAUGUCCUUUGUCGCAGCGGGUGUCCCUACAAUUACUACGCUGUCAAAAACGUUUCUCCUUUAUUGGAAUAAUUUAUAAGAAAAAAUAAUUUUAUUUUGCAUGUACUGUAUCGUACUGUUUUGUCCAAAAACCAUGAUCAGCCGACAAUUUAAAAAAGUAAAGACUAAAGUAAAUUCCGAAAAGACAAGACAUCUUGAGAAUACAAUAUAUGAUUUAAAAAGAAGAAGAAAAAGUCUCAACCUGCGUCUCUUGUUUUUCAAUCAUAUAUUGUAUUCUCCGAGAUGUCUUUUCGGAAUUUGUUUUUACUGUACUGUUUUGUGGUUUCCAGGUUUAUGUUUUUAAGAAUUAAGCUUUCAAUAUUCUGCUCUGUUGAGCGAGACAUCCACACGCUUGAACUGGCCUCUGUAGCUCAGUUGGCAGGGCCGCCGAGAGGGGGGAUUGCCCCGGCCCCCCACCUUAAUAGGGCCUCCAACUUGAGAUCGAGAGCCUGAAAUUGAGUAGGUCGGUGCAUUUUUGAAAUUGAGGGCCCCUUACAGUAGCUCCACAUGCAUGCAGUCUAGCUAAGGUCUAGUUGGGUAUUAUAACUUAGAAAUAAUGAUGUCAUGGGGCCCCCAGAGAAGAUUUGCACGGCCCCCGCGAAUUCUCUCGGCGGCUCUCUCAGUUGGUUAGAGCGCUGCACCUCAGAGACACAGGUUCGAUUCCCACCAGACUGCCAAAAGUUUUGCAACUGUUAGGUUUCAAAUUCGUACAUAGUUUCCGCGCGAAUUUAUGCACGAAAACAUUAAUAAGGUGUUUUGGUGUUUGUUUUUUAAACAAGACGUCAUAAUGCGUAUACGUGGGCUUUGGGUGACAUUAAGAAAAUUAGAAGAUUAACAUUUCUUUCACACAAUAAAGCAUGAAAAAGCCGCCCUUUGAAUUGACGAAAUUGAUUCGCCCCCAAUUAACCAAUUUUUUUAUUAAUCCGCUAUAUCUCUGGAAAAAUGUAAUGCUACCAUGUAGAUUUAUUUUUUUCACAAAUAUUGUAAGAAUUCUCAUGUGAAUUUGAAAUAAGAACAUUAUAUACGAUUUAAGUAAUAAAGUCCAUUUUUUGAUAAAUAUAGUUCUUGUGAGUGGGCCCUCUUCUGACGCGGCAUUUCAGAAUAAUUUGAAAAUAAUUAAUUUGUUUGUCUGGUACAUAUAAAAUAUUUAAAUAAUUUCCCAAACCGCUUUCGAUGACGCGUUUGUAUAUAGUUGAUUUUGUGCGGUUUGAUUAUAUUCUGAUAAGCCCCUGUAUAGGUCUUCUGGCAGGAAUGGAACCUGCAGCCCUGUGACUCCGGUGCAGUGCUCUAACCAACUGAGCUGCAUGCAGAGCCCAGCUAUCGACAAAGGCCUCGAAAGUGGGGAGGGGGGGGGGGCACUGACAAAAAAGGGCACUUUCCCAUAUAGUCGUUUUUAUUUAGUUUCAAGGUAAUCCCUGCCCUUGGUUUAUGCAUUGACUAUUACAAGAAAUAGGUAGAAUGGAGUGCAUAUAUUUAUUAUAUCAUAACGCUUAUCAAAAUUUCCCAAAAAACCUAAUUAGAUGUUUUUCUGAAUAAGAUAAAUCUGCGAUAUGUCUUGUGUAAUUAGCUAUAUAAAUGUCUAUUGAGAUCUUGUGUUUCAGACUCGUAUAGUAUACCAUAAGGCACAUUUCAUGAAGUCAAAAAGAGCACGUUCGCUUGAAAAAAGAGCACAUUUUGGUGUUUGCAAAAAAGUGGGAGGGGGCAGCAGUGCCCCCCCCCCCCCACCGGUUCCGUGGCCUUUGGUCAUCGAGCUCUAACUGCAAGCUCAUGUAUAUAUAUACUACUAGGGUGAUGCCAAUGUGUGGUGUAUGAGUAAAUGUCAUGCCGCUUUUGAGCAUCUUACUCGAUAGAACUAAAUAUUGAAAGGUUUUUGUAAGUACAAAUACGAAGGUGUAUAGUGAUUGAAAAAUGUUACAAUGACUGCUUAUGAGUCAGAGUGGGGGGGGGAAUUAAAAUUUGUCACGAACAUUGCCGAGCACUGCGGCCUGCUUUAAACAACCGCUGCUUUUUCUUAAUUGCAACAUUCAUUAUUUGACACUUUCUAUUUUAUGUUAAUUUGACAAAUUAUCACACAAUCAGCCGUGAUUGUCAUUCAUAUCAGAGACGGGGGCUGUAUAUAACAAAAUCUUUCAAAUGAACAUUCACCUUAUCUAUAUUUUGCAGAGAUUAUUCAGCGGGCGUCACUGCAAGAGACUUGGUUCAUUCUCUUACCGAAUUCUGAUUAUUGUUGUUCACCUGUCAAGAAAUGCGUGGACAAAGUUUUUUAUGUGAAGUUUAGGCUGGAAAAGUGUGAUGUUUUAAAAGC